AGGCAAAGCACCACCAAGCGCUGAGAGAAUCUCCGAGCUGGUGUCACUUGUAAUCACUGGCUUUUCAGGGAACCCAUUUUAUUACGGCUUCUUGAGUUUUCUUUUGUGAAGCCACAGCCAGUCCUUCUUGGCUGACUCCAAGUGUGGUCAGGAAGCAGUGGUAACCCAUGUCUGUCUAUUGCAAGUCUACACUGCCACACAAAGCCUGAGGUACAGCUGCUGCUGCGGGUCUGUUGAUCUGAACUGCUGAUUUGAAGUGGAUUGAGAGGAUGGAACAAUAGAAGGAGGAUAUGGCUCAGGACAGUCAAGUACUGGAAGAGGAAAGGUACAAAGAGGUGUUGGCACUGAAUGACCCUGAACAGGGCUGCACUGGAAAUAUCAGAGAUGGGGAGUCAGAAGCUCGAGAGGCCGAGCGGGUUGCCCAUGACUGCGCAGUUAGUGGAGCUGUGACUCCACACAGUCCUCAUCCCUCCCUGUGCUGGGUCAAUGCAGUGGGGACAAAUGACCCAGGGUGGCGUGCUUAGGGAAGCAAGGGUUUUCUCCUUCCUGAAAGACGGAUAUGCCAUGAGGCAGCCGGUGAUGUCCCAGGGCUGGAGAGCUAGAGGAGCCUCGGAGGCCCCCAGCCUGUCUUCUGCCAAGCGGAGAACUCCCUGGGAGCACAGCUU
rnacentral:lncRNA from 1 species